rnacentral:rRNA from 1 species
CCUACGGGUGGCAGCAGUGGGGAAUAUUGCACAAUGGGGGAAACCCUGAUGCAGCGACGCCGCGUGAGUGAAGAAGGCUUUCGGGAUGUAAAGCUCUUUCAGCCGGGAAGAAAAUGACGGUAUCUGUCUAAGAUGACCCGCCUCACUACGUGCCCGCAGCCGCGGUAAUACGCAGGGGGCGAGCGUUUUCCGGGUUUUUUGGGUGUAAAGGGGGGGGAAGCGGGAGUACAAGGCUGGAGGUAAAUGCCGGGGCCUAACCCCGGAACUGUUGUUGAAACUGGGUAGCUAGAGGGUAGGAGAGGUAAGUGGAAUGCGUGGUGUAGCGGUGAAAUGCGUAGAUAUUAGGAAGAACCCCAGUUGCGAAGGCAGCAUACUGG